rnacentral:rRNA from 1 species
UGUGGGGGACAUUCCACGUUUUCCGCGCCGUAGCUAACGCAUUAAGUGCCCCGCCUGGGGAGUACGGCCGCAAGGCUAAAACUCAAAGGAAUUGACGGGGGCCCGCACAAGCGGCGGAGCAUGCGGAUUAAUUCGAUGCAACGCGAAGAACCUUACCAAGGCUUGACAUGAACCGGAAUGAUGCAGAGAUGUGUCAGCCACUUGUGGCCGGUUUACAGGUGGUGCAUGGUUGUCGUCAGCUCGUGUCGUGAGAUGUUGGGUUAAGUCCCGCAACGAGCGCAACCCUCGUUCCAUGUUGCCAGCGGGUUAUGCCGGGGACUCAUGGGAGACUGCCGGGGUCAACUCGGAGGAAGGUGGGGACGACGUCAAAUCAUCAUGCCCCUUAUGUCUUGGGCUUCACGCAUGCUACAAUGGCCGGUACAAAGGGUUGCGAUACUGUGAGGUGGAGCUAAUCCCAAAAAGCCGGUCUCAGUUCGGAUUGAGGUCUGCAACUCGACCUCAUGAAGUUGGAGUCGCUAGUAAUCGCAGAUCAGCAACGCUGCGGUGAAUACGUUCCCGGGCCUUGUACACACCGCCCGUCAAGUCACGAAAGUUGGUAACACCCGAAGCCGGUGGCCUAACCCCUUGUGGGAAGGAGCCGUCGAAGGUGGGGCUG